rnacentral:rRNA from 1 species
UACAGAGGGUGCGAGCGUUAAUCGGAAUUACUGGGCGUAAAGCGCACGUAGGCGGCUUGGUAUGUCGGGUGUGAAAUCCCCGGGCUCAACCUGGGAACUGCAUCCGAAACUGCCUUGCUCGAGUAUGGGAGAGGGAAGUGGAAUUCCUGGUGUAGCGGUGAAAUGCGUAGAUAUCAGGAGGAACACCUGCGGUGUAGACGGCUUACUGGACCAUCACUGACGCUGAGGCACGAAAGCGUGGGUAGCAAACAGG